rnacentral:lncRNA from 1 species
GUAGGUCAACCAUAAACUACCAAUCCUACAUUAUUGAAGAGAGUCACUAUAGUAAAUGUGAAAGAACAUGGAGUAGCGCCCAACAACGGCACUCUAGCGAAUAAAGGUAUAGAAAUGGCACUUUGCUGAAAAAUAAACAGCACCAACAAAAAAUAGGUUGUAGUGUUGACAGAAACAAAUGAGUAUGCAGGAAUAAUGAAAAACAGAUUCUCGUGCUGAUGAAAUAAAACGAUGACAGCAUAAAGUAUAGUUAACCACUAUCUAUAACUACACAUAACUACGGCAAAUAGCACAGGUCAAAUAUGCAUAUGACAAUUAACUUAGAUCUGUGAACAACUACACAUAACUACGGCAAAUAGCACAGGUCAAAUAUGCAUAUGACAAUUAACUUAGACCUGUGCACUUUGUUCUGCUCAGGAAACACAGACAGAUAUUCAAUUCAACUGAACAUACGACAUCAGUACCAUUUAGCUACAUAUAGAUAAAAACCUGGCAGUGGUCACAUCUCAUGGCCUGAAUGGAACACAACCGGGAAUUGUUGUAGAAUUGUACUAUGUCAGUGGAGAAUGUUAUAAAAGAACAUAAAAUUCUCUGCUUCGCAUGUGCUUGUGAAUCUCAUAAAAAAAUAUCAGUAAAAAUUAUUACUUAAAGUGUGGUAUAUGGUUGCAUGUGGAUAGCUAAUCCAAACAAUAAACUCACAGUAAUGCAAAAAUUAAUAAAUAUUAGAUACGUUAAUAUUCAAAUUAUUUCGGCUAAUAUUAGAUUAUAUGGUAAAUUAAAUAUUUUAAUAUUAAGAUUAUCUUUUUGCAGGAUCUUUUAAGGCUGGUGAGGCCAACGAAACUACCGAAGGUUUUCGCAGUGAUGUAAUAAUCCUACUCAGUACUCA